GCCGAAGUGGCGGAAUUGGCAGACGCACUAGACUCAAAAUCUGGCGGUGGUGACACCAUGUGGGUUCGAUUCCCACCUUCGGUACCA
rnacentral:tRNA from 1 species